rnacentral:miRNA from 14 species
AAGCAGGAGGUGUCAGAAAAGUUACAAGGAUAGCUGGCUUGUGGUGGCCAAGCAUUCAUAGCAAUGCUGUUUUAUGAUCCUUUGA